ACGGAGGGGGCUAGCGUUGUUCGGAAUUACUGGGCGUAAAGCGCACGUAGGCGGUUGCUCAAGUCAGAUGUGAAAGCCCCGAGCUUAACUCCGGAAUUUCCUUUGAAACUAGGUAACUUGAAUCCAGGAGAGGUGACUGGAAUUCCGAGUGUAGAGGUGAAAUUCGUAGAUAUUCGGAAGAACACCAGCGGCGAAGGCGGCUUGCUGGGCUGGCAUUGACGCUGAGGUGCGAAAGCCUGGGGAGCAAACAGGA
rnacentral:rRNA from 1 species